rnacentral:rRNA from 1 species
CCUACGGGAGGCAGCAGUGAGGAAUAUUGGACAAUGGGCGCAAGCCUGAUCCAGCCAUGCCGCGUGCAGGAAGAAGCAUCUAUGGUGUGUAAACUGCUUUUGUACGGGAAGAAACACUCCUUCGUGAAGGAGCUUGACGGUACCGUAAGAAUAAGGAUCGGCUAACUCCGUGCCAGCAGCCGCGGUAAUACGGAGGAUCCAAGCGUUAUCCGGAAUCAUUGGGUUUAAAGGGUCCGUAGGCGGUUUAAUAAGUCAGUGGUGAAAUCUGGUCGCUUAACGAUCAAACGGCCAUUGAUACUGUUAGACUUGAAUUAUUUGGAAGUAACUAGAAUAUGUAGUGUAGCGGUGAAAUGCUUAGAUAUUACAUGGAAUACCAAUUGCGAAGGCAGGUUACUACAAAUGGAUUGACGCUGAUGGACGAAAGCGUGGGGAGCGAACAGGAUUAGAUACCCUGGUAGUCCACGCCGUAAACGAUGGAUACUAGCUGUUGGGAGUAAUCUCAGUGGCUAAGCGAAAGUGAUAAGUAUCCCACCUGGGGAGUACGAACGCAAGUUUGAAACUUCAAAGGAAAUUGACGG